rnacentral:rRNA from 1 species
AUCGAUGGCCAUACCACCCUGAACACGCCCGAUCUCGUCUGAUCUCGGAAGCUAAGCAGGGUCGGGCCUGGUUAGCACUUAGUACUUGGAUGGGAGAAACCAGUCUUUGGAUG